rnacentral:rRNA from 1 species
GACGAACGCUGGCGGCGUGCUUAACACAUGCAAGUCGAACGGAGUGGUGAACGGGUGAGUAACACGUGGGUGAUCUGCCUUGCACUUCGGGAUAAGCUUGGGAAACUGGGUCUAAUACCGGAUAGUGCAUGAUGAGUUCGCGGCCUAUCAGCUUGUUGGUGGGGUAAUGGCCUACCAAGGCGUCGACGGGUAGCCGGCCUGAGGGGGGGUACGGCAACAUUGGGACUGAGAUACGGCCCAGACUCCUACGGGAGGCAGCAGUGGGGAAUAGUGCACAAUGGGCGGAAGCCGGAUGCAGCGACGCCGCGUGGGUGAUGAAGGCCUGCGUGUUGUAAACUCCUGUCGACAGGGACGCGGUACCUGUAUAAGAAGCACCGGCUAACUACGUGCCAGCAGCCGCGGUAAUUC